rnacentral:rRNA from 1 species
UACGGAGGAUGCAAGCGUUAUCCGGAAUGAUUGGGCGUAAAGCGUCCGCAGGUGGCAAUGUAAGUCUGCUGUCAAAGCGUCUGGCUCAACCAGAUAAAGGCAGUGGAAACUACACGGCUAGAGUACGUUCGGGGCAGAGGGAAUUCCUGGUGUAGCGGUGAAAUGCGUAGAGAUCAGGAAGAACACCUAUGGCGAAGGCAGCUCUCUGGGACGGUACUGACGCUGAGACGCGAAAGCGUGGGGAGCGAACAGG